rnacentral:lncRNA from 1 species
AUUGUGUGCGCUGAGAGCAGCACGUCACCAAGUCGCCUGGCAGGCUCUCAGCAGAGCUGGGGAAUGUUUCCGGAGUGGACUAAUCCAUUAUGAAUGGCCGAAACUUUUUAAAAGCUCUGGCGUUUCUUUGCAUGGCCAGACUGGGAGAGCCAAAGAGAAGGAAGGAUUUGGAAACUCCUGGCUUUGAGGCUACAGGUCCCAGGGACCUUGGCAGACCCGUGGUUUGCCAAGAGGGCCUUUCAGACUGGGCCUGCCACCCAGUGAGGGAUCUAGGAAUGUCACGUGGAGGGGAAAUGGCAGGUGGGGCCGUGGAUGGAGGGCUCAGCUGGAGGUGUGGAAGGAGUCAAAAUUGUAUUAUUUUUUGUUUACAACACCUGACCCCAACUUGGGACUUGGGAUGGCUCACACCUGAGUAUGGGAAAGGACCUAGUCACCUUUGAAAGCUUCACUGAGCUCCCCCCAGAGGAAAUGGAAAGUCAGAAUUGUUUUGAAGUGGGUCAGUG